UACGUAGGGGGCAAGCGUUGUCCGGAUUUAUUGGGCGUAAAGAGCGUGUAGGCGGCUUUACAGGUCCGUUGUGAAAACUCGAGGCUCAACCUCGAGACGCCGGUGGAAACCGUAAAGCUAGAGUCCGGAAGAGGAGAGUGGAAUUCCUGGUGUAGCGGUGAAAUGCGCAGAUAUCAGGAGGAACACCCGUGGCGAAAGCGGCUCUCUGGGACGGUACUGACGCUGAGACGCGAAAGCGUGGGGAGCGAACGGG
rnacentral:rRNA from 1 species